rnacentral:tRNA from 1 species
CAGGAGGUAGUUUAUUAAAAAUACUCGUUUUGGGGGCGAGCGAUAGAGUGUCGACUUUUCUUCUGA